CCCCAAAAUCCAAAUCACUUGUUGGUACACGCACGUUCCUACUUUUCCUCAAAAAACUCCUUUUCACCAAAAUUUAUUCAUAAGCCCCAUGAUUUCAGUUGAAAGUCUCACAACAACUUUCAGAGAAGACAAAUCAAGCAGGGAGCUCGAAGAAGAUGUUACAGAAGGAGUGAAGGUGGAAUCGAGCAGGGAGCUCGAGGAAGAUGUUACAGAUACACUGACGAGAAUUUCAACCUCAAGUUCUCUACACGGUCUCGUUGUUUUAAUAUCUGCGCCACAGCUGAUAUAGUAUUUGCUAAACCUAAGUUCUAAAUUGUUAUUCAUAUUUGAAUUUGCAGUAAUUUAGAUUUCUAAUUAUUUUAUGUUUUUUUAUAUGUAAUGUGAAGCUAAUAAAGUGCUUCGUUUCCCGGAACUCGGAAACUGUUUUGCUUUCAUUUGGAACAAGAUACAACUUGAUUGUUGAAUUGAAGGAUUGAUAUUGGGUUAAGCUUGGAUUUGUGCUAAGAGAUCUAUUAGAGAGAACAACUAAUAAUUACGUGUCAAUUUGUAAACUUGAGGUUUGCCCCUAUGGAAUUUUGUAUCCAUUUGAAGAUUAUAGUUUGAACUCUUCAUGGUCCUUCAAUGUUCAGAAGCAAACACACUUGAAUCUUUUUCAACUUUGACAACGAGUAACGAAGUUAAAACAAGAUAUAGUAGAGAAGUGUGCUAUGAUGGAGAAAAUUGAAGAAAAUGCAAGUUAUACAUUUGAACGACCGAGAUAUCAAUCGUUAUCACAAAACCCGCCAGAAAAUUUUCCGUCAUGUUUAGAUAUGGUUUGUUAGAAAACUUUAUAAUUCAUAUAUUUAUUAUAUAUAUAUAUUGUAUUGCUUUAAGAUAAUUUGGAUCAUUGUUGUAAUACAUGUGCAUAUUGAAAUUUGAUUUCAUAUUUAUCUUUGGUAUAAUGUGUAUCUACUUA